UCUGAACCCAAGUUAGGCGCUUUCGCGGAGGACAUUCUGCCGGCUCAGGCACACCUCCCCACUACCGCCACCUGGCGUGCGGUUUACAGGUGCAGCCACACCACCAAGUGGUCGUCUAGACGGGUUUACUUGGCCUCCUGUGCUCCCAUUUUCUGAUCCGCAGCACACGGAUAAUGGCACACAAGCUCGCGGCGCGCGUAACAACCGCAGAACGCAGGUGGGGCGCUUAGCACAGGGCCUUGGCACAGUCACGGGAAGCAGUUAGAGGCGGAUCCGACGCAGAGCUCCGCGUUAGCGUUUCCCCCCCGCCCCGCCAAGGGUGGGGGCGGCGGCCGGGGCUCUGCGCGCUGCCCGGCGCUGUCCGAGGUGCUGGACGCCGGCGGGGCGCGCUCCACGCCGCCGGCUCUGUGCGCAGCUCCCAGAAGGCCCUGCGCGGUAAGUGCGUCUCCAUCCCUGCUCUGAAAUGCCCACCUUCAAACUCUUUACAAUUUCUGGAGCAUUCUCGGGAUCACAACCUCUCACCACCCUGUCGAUCCUCAGAGGUUUCUGCAAAUAUGUAAGCUUUGCUCCCCCUUCAGUGUCUGCAGAAAUCCAGACGCCUAUCACCCAGCCCCGCUCCGCAACCAUCCAUCUCCUACAAAAAUCCAGGCCCCUGCGCACCUCACCCCCACGCGUCAAUGCAAAAAUGAAAAAUGUAAACCCGUGUUCCACACCCUUCUCCCACAGUUUCCUGUGAUAAAACCAGACUUCCCCCCUCCAGCCUCCCACUCCUGCCUGCGGCUCAACAGCGUGGGCUGACUUUUGGGGAGCGCAAGAUCCCUCUCACACAGUGAGCCACCGGAGACCCCUGCGGGUGCGCUUACCUGCUGGGGGUGCUCACCAAACGAGGCCACCUGAGUGCAGGCCACCGGUAGUGUCAUUGCUCCAGAAGCAAAGUCAGGGGCCCUCGGCUUGGCUUCGGGCCGCUUACCGAAGGGCGCUGCCGGGCUGACCCGCGCGGGCGCUGGGUUCACGCCGGGCCUCGCGGGUCCUGUAGAAUGACUUGCCCGGAACUUCAAGGUUCGUCAGUAAAGCCUCUGCGUCACCCCUCGCUUCUCCCAGUUCAAGCCAGAACACGGCAGUUUCUCUAGAGAAAGAAGGAGGCGUGGAAGACGACGGUCUCGCCCAGCUCUGGUUUGCAGGUCUCCUGCGCAGCCCGGCCCCGCGCGCCGUCCCGGGGCCCCGCCGGCUGGCUGGCGAGCGCUGCCGCCCGCCCGCGCCCCGAGCGCGGCCGUGUGGGCGUGUGCGCCGGGGAGGAGCGAGCACCGCGGGGGCGGCGGGGGCGGGCAGAGGCGCCCGCCGCCCCGCCCGCACCCCGACCGCGGCGGCCAGGCGCGCCUGACGGCUCCGCCCCAGCCGGGUGGGGGCCCCCCGGGCGUGGGCGCGGCGACCCCCGGGGCCGGUCGAGGGGCGCGCGCGCCGCAAGCCUGACGCCGCACGUGCCGGACCCCGGGAGGGACGUGAGCCUGGGUCUCCUCUGCUGUCCACGCUGCUCUGCCUUCCUCGGGCUUCCUUCGUCAAACGCCCUGGGAUCCAGGACUUCCGCCCACAGCGUGGGCGGGAGAAGAAGGGAAGAGGGGGGCUGUGGCGGUAAGACUCGGGGGGGUGGGGGGGUGGGCUCGAGGAUCUGUUUCCAUCCCAGCCCCGCCCUUCAGCGCACCUGCUCCAGCUGCCCAGGACUCGAAGCACGCGGCAUCGUAUCUGCAAGGUGAGCGCGCCCGCGCCCCGGCUUCGCGGAGGCCUGCCCCCCAUGUCUAGGUGAAAACAGGCACGCGUGGGGAAACAAUGAACGACUGUUCAACUGAAGGAAACAAUGCGUGCUUUUGGAUACAUGCAUGCGAAUACACCCGUGAAGUUCAUGACCUAUUACUACCCUCUACACCUGUACUUUGUACCGCAAGGCAGGACGGGAUUGGUGAAGCUGAGCCAACUCCGGAGUCAGACUGCAUGGACUGAAAUCCCAACCCAACCACUUGCCAGCCGUGGAUCUCUGAUGUGACGCUCUCCCGUGGCUUCUCUCUGUCGUAAACCACACUCCGGUGAAGGCCCUUUCGUCGGUCUUUUUCAAAUUUCAGAAUUAUUUCCUAAGAGCAAAAUACUUGAGGUUCCCGAGGGAAAGGUAUGCAAAACUUUACCAUUUGCAUACAGAGUGCAAAGGGCUGCUCCGUGAGGGCUGUACCACUUUUCAUUACCCCUUGAUCAUGGCUUAGUGCAUCCUCCACCUUAUGAGAUCUCAUUGUUGAAGAAACUUGCUAACGUGAUAAUUAAAAAUGUAUUAGGUCA